AUGGUGCAAUAUCCGAGCUUGUAUAGGAUUGUUAGACAUAAAUUCGUCACAAUCAAACAAGUUUUAGGACAAGAAAACCCUGAUAUUUCUUUUCGUAGGGACCUUUUUGGCCCUCGCCUGGCAGCAUGGAAUGAAUUACUCACUCGCCUGGAGGACAUUCAACUGUCAGGUGAGCCGGACAUUUUUCGAUGGAACUUGCAUCUGAAUGGCGAAUUUUCAGUAAAAUCCAUGUAUGAUGCAAUGGUUCAUUGUGAUGUUCCAGUUGAUAACAGGAAAUUGUGGAAGCUCAAAAUCCCUCUAAGAGUGAAGAUUUUCCUCUGGUUUCUUAACAGAGGAGUCAUCCUAACUAGAGACAAUCUGGCACGACGAAACUGGCAUGGUUCCAAGACAUGUGUCUUUUGCCAACAUGACGAGUCUAUUAAACACUUAUUUUUUGAGUGUAAGUUCGCUCGGGCAGUUUGGGCCAUAGUUCAAGUAGCUUCGAAUCUAUACCCACCAUGUAGUGCACGGAACAUGUUCGGCAACUGGUUCCGGGGUAUUGAUAAACAAUUUUCUGCACAUAUUCUUGUGGGAGCGGCGGCCUUAUGCUGGGCACUGUGGCUUACCAGGAAUGAUGUGGUUUUUAAUAACAAAUGUGUCUCAUCUCUAUGCAGGUUAUUCAUGUGUGUACACGAUGGCUCCGUACUUGGUCUAUCCUACAGAGGCCGGAGGACAUAG
rnacentral:rRNA from 1 species